ensembl:lncRNA
GGCGGGGUUGCCUUUCAAAAGCAAUAUAUAAACAUAUGGAUUUUGCCUUCUCCAAUCUUUGAUAGAAGCUUUCGAUGGAGACAAUGAAGACAUGAUUUUUUUGCUAGUGGUUGUAUGGGGGUGUAAGUAUGAAGUCCAGGCUGGCCCCAAGCUUGCAGAGAUCCUCCUUCCUCAGCCUCCCAAGUGCUAGGAUCACAGGCGUGAGCCACCACAAGCGGCCUGCAACAAAGAUUCUUGAAGCCUGAUACUCCUAUGUCUUAAUCAUGCAGUAAACUUUGAGAACCAGCAGUGGAUGAAAAGAUCACUUCCUCUGUGGACACUACGGGUUUUGGAAUCUGCAAACGCUGGCGUGUCACUUAACCCCAAAGUUAACGCAAUCCUGUUGGACUUUCCCUGCCUUCCUUCCUGUUUCUAUCUUUUUGAUUGUCUCACCUUUUAAAACCUCGAUUUGUAUUUGUAUACAUGUGUGAUUCUCCUGUCAUUGUUCGGCUUUUUACCCAGGCACUUUUCACCUACAUCCUCUCCUUCCUUCAUUUGGCAGCCGGUUGGGCUUCUUCCUGCCUUGAAUACCACAUUCCCU